UGCCCUUUGGUUCGGAAUAAGCUCGGGAAACUGGGUCUAAUACCGAAUGUGCCCUUCGGGGGAAAGAUUUAUCGCCAAAGGAGCGGCCCGCGUCUGAUUAGCUAGUUGGUGGUGUAAAGGACCACCAAGGCGACGAUCAGUAGCUGGUCUGAGAGGAUGAUCAGCCACAUUGGGACUGAGACACGGCCCAAACUCCUACGGGAGGCAGCAGUGGGGAAUCUUGCGCAAUGGGCGAAAGCCUGACGCAGCCAUGCCGCGUGAAUGAUGAAGGUCUUAGGAUUGUAAAAUUCUUUCACCGGGGACGAUAAUGACGGUACCCGGAGAAGAAGCCCCGGCUAACUUCGUGCCAGCAGCCGCGGUAAUACGAAGGGGGCUAGCGUUGCUCGGAAUUACUGGGCGUAAAGGGCGCGUAGGCGGACAUUUAAGUCAGGGGUGAAAUCCCGGGGCUCAACCUCGGAAUUGCCUUUGAUACUGGGUGUCUUGAGUAUGAGAGAGGUAUGUGGAACUCCGAGUGUAGAGGUGAAUUCGUAGAUAUUCGGAAGAACACCAGUGGCGA
rnacentral:rRNA from 1 species